GGAAAAUAGAGUUGAGAACCAUCAGAAGUGGACGGACAGAGGACUUAGGAAAUAGAAACAUAUGGUUGAUUUUCUUGCUCUGAAAAUACCAUCAAGUGCUGCUGGAUACUGAAGAUAAGCCUUCCUGGCCUCAAAGGAUAGAAGGAGCUCCCUGGGUCCAAGAAGUCCCAUUCCUGCCCUGCACCCAGGUCAGCCCAUUCACAGCAACGUUACGCCUUGGUGGAAAAUUUGCCUUGUGUCUGAAACACAGACAGAAAGAAGAAAGAGAGGAGAGGCUCAGAUGUUUGUAGCAAUCUGGUCUGUUUUGAACAUAAAGCUAUCGGAAGAUAAAGAGAAUUUGAGAAGGCUGUACUUUUAUUUCUCAGCAUGUGAAAGAAUAUAGUACAAAUGCUAUUCUGGAUAUACCACAUCUAAAUAUGAAUGCACCAUGUUAGAAAGAAGUCAACUG